UGCGGCCGUCCGGGCGCUUGAAGCUGCGCCUCCACGCCGUCACCACUCCCCAAGCCCCACCUCUCCGCGCCGCGGUUCAGCAGGACCUCCGCGGUAUCAAGGUAGGCAGGAAGGACGAGGGCUGGUGCGUACCAUCAAUCUGUCCGACGAGCCCGGCAUCUGCUGCUCGUGCGGAUGAGGCGGCGGUCCUCGUGUGCUGCAAGCGACCGGUGGGUGAUAUUUCGGCCUGAGCUAUGAUGAGACCCUCUGGUGAGCUUGGAUUUCGAUCCCCUAUAUGUCCUCUAUCUGCUGCAGCAAUCAUGCCGCCCUUUGUCAAUGAUGGAUACUAGAUGUAAUUCAUCUGCUUUUCUUUUUUGUUACUGCAAGUUAUGAAUCGGUGUUGUCAUCUUCUUCGGGUAAAGAAUGCACUAAGUCUUAACUUCCAAUUCCUAGCUGAA